GGGUGUGGGGGUACUCUGGUUGUGACAUCUGCCACCCCAGUGAUUGCCAGGGUUGAUUCGGUUGAUAUGGCUGGUUAUGUGGGUGUCUGAUUCUUCUCUCAUGUUUGUUCCUCCCAAAGACCAGUGUUCAGUCAAAAACCGAAAACCUUCCCUGAACAGAGGAGGACUGCCUGUCUGUCAAGGGUAUUCUAGCGGCUGGGCUGUUUUGCUAGAACUUUCAAAUAAGCUCUUAAGCAUCACAGUUAAUUUUUUUUUUACUUUCAAAAAAAUUUUUUGUUU
rfam:Rattus norvegicus chromosome 17, whole genome shotgun sequence.